CCUACACAUGCAGUCGAACGCCCCGCAAGGGGAGUGGCAGACGGGUCUGUAACACGUGGGAACCUUCCCUAUAGUACGGAAUAGCCCAGGGUAAACUUGGAGUAAUACCGUAUACGCCCGAAAGGGGAAAGAAUUUCGCUAUAGGAUGGGCCCGCGUAGGAUUAGCUAGUUGGUGAGGUAAUGGCUCACCAAGGCGACGAUCCUUAGCUGGUUUGAGAGAACGACCAGCCACACUGGGACUGAGACACGGCCCAGACUCCUACGGGAGGCAGCAGUGGGGAAUAUUGGACAAUGGGCGCAAGCCUGAUCCAGCCAUGCCGCGUGAGUGAUGAAGGCCUUAGGGUUGUAAAGCUCUUUUGGCGGGGACGAUAAUGACGGUACCCGCAGAAUAAGUCCCGGCUAACUUCGUGCCAGCAGCCGCGGUAAUACGAAGGGGACUAGCGUUGUUCGGAAUCACUGGGCGUAAAGCGCACGUAGGCGGAUAUGCCAGUCAGGGGUGAAAUCCCGGGGCUCAACCUCGGAACUGCCCUUGAUACAGCAUGUCUUGAGUCCGAUAGAGGUGGGUGGAAUUCCUAGUGUAGAGGUGAAAUUCGUAAAUAUUAGGAAGAACACCGGUGGCGAGGGCGGCCCACUUGGAUCGGUACUGACGCUGAAGGGCGAAAGCGUGGGGAGCAAACAGGGAUUAGAUACCCUGGGUAAUCCACGCCCGUAAACGAAUGGAUGCUAGCCCGUCGG
rnacentral:rRNA from 1 species